rnacentral:rRNA from 1 species
AUUGAACGCUGGCGGCAGGCCUAACACAUGCAAGUCGAACGAGUGGCGGACGGGUGAGUAAUGUCUGGGAAACUGCCUGAUGGAGGGGGAUAACUACUGGAACCGGUAGCUAAUACCGCAUACCAUCAGAUGUGCCCAGAUGGGAUUAGCUUGUUGGUUGGGUAACGGCUAACCAAGGCGACGAUGCCUAGCUGGUCUGAGAGGAUGACCAGCCGCACGGGAAGUGCGACACGGUCCAGACUCCUACGGGAGGCAGCAGUGGGGAAUAUUGCACAAUGGGAGCAAGCCUGAUGCAGACAUGCCGCGUGUAUCAAGAAGGCCUUCGGGUUGUAAAGUACUUUCAGCGGGGAGGCGUUACCCGCAGAAGAAGCACCGGCUAACUACGUGCCAGCAGCCGCGGUAAUAC